rnacentral:lncRNA from 1 species
UAGAGGCUUUCAGCUGGCCGUAGAGGCUUUCAGCUGGCCGUAGAGGCUUUCAGCUGGCCGUAGAGGCUUUCAGCUGGCCGUAGUGGCUUUCGGCUGGCUGUAGAGGCUUUCAGCUGGCCGUAGAGGCUUUCGGCUGGCCGUAGAGGCUUUCAGCUGGCCGUAGAGGCUUUCAGCUGGCCGUAGAGGCUUUCAGCUGGCCGUAGAGGCUUUCAGCUGGCCGUAGAGGCUUUCAGCUGGCCGUAGAGGCUUUCGGCUGGCUUUCAGCUGGCCGUAGAGGCUUUCAGCUGGCCGUAGAGGCUUUCAGCUGGCCGUAGAGGCUUUCAGCUGGCCGUAGAGGCUUUCAGCUGGCCAUAGAGGCUUUCAGCUGGCCGUAGAGGCUUUCAGCUGGCUGUAGAGGCUUUCAGCUGCUGUUAGAGGCUUUCCUGCUAAGAUGUGUGUGUGACACCUGCUCUUGAUAAUAUGGAUGAUGCAAGAGAAACAAAACCCACACAUGCCAACUUGCCUUUGGCUUGACAGACUCAAAAGAGGCACUUGAAGACUGUAUGUUUUGAUUGGCUGGUUUUCAGACCUUUAAUGAUACAAAAAAAAUUGAUUGUGCACUUAAUUGAAAGUAUUCUUUUGAACAGGUUUCCAUGUUGGGAAAGUUCUACAUCAGU